rnacentral:rRNA from 1 species
UACAGAGGUGGCAAGCGUUGUUCGGAAUUACUGGACGUAAAGGGCGCGUAGGCGGUUCGUUAAGUCCUGUGUGAAAUCCCCCGGCUCAACUGGGGAACUGCACAGGAAACUAGCGGGCUUGAGUUCGGGAGAGGGAAGCGGAAUUCCGGGUGUAGCGGUGAAAUGCGUAGAUAUCCGGAGGAACACCGGUGGCGAAGGCGGCUUCCUGGGCCGACACUGACGCUGAGGCGCGAAAGCUAGGGGAGCAAACGGG